rnacentral:misc_RNA from 1 species
AAUCUUAAUUUAUAACUAUUAUAAACUGCAAUAUGUUUCUGGCAAAUAUAUUAAAUCUAAAUUAAUUAGUGCGUGAAUAAUUGAUUAAAUUUGCCGCGCGAGUGGAAACGCGAGCCGUUGCGCGACCGUAAAGUGCUUAAAGCAGCCAGUUAAAAGUGUAACCAUCAAAAAAACGUAAACAAUGGACGAUAUCAAGCUGGCAAAGUGCGUGUGUGACAAUGGAUUUUACAAGAUUCAUGAAUAAAUUCAACGAAAUCGAACGCCAACUUUCGCCCACAUCGGCGCUGCGUCUGAGCUUUGAUAAUAUAUCGCCGGAGAGCGAGGAGCCGCCCGAUGGCAAGCGGCUGUGGGGUGUGCCAGUGCCACCAUUUGUCUCCGAUAAGGUCGUCUCCUGGAUCGCGGAGGAGUUCAACGAGGCGCCCGUUUACUACAACGGCAACUGUGUCCUAAAAAAGGUGGAAAAUGUGCGCAUGAUUGAUCGCUACAACACUAAAAAUCCUACAGUUGGCACUUUGUAUCUGACGGCCACGCAUCUGAUAUUCGUGGAGCCCGACAGCAAUAAGGAGACCUGGAUUCUGCACAUGCACAUUGCCAGCAUUGAGAAGCUGCCGCUUAGCACAACCGGUUCGCCGCUUUUGAUACGCUGCAAAACUUUUCUGUCGGUGACAUUUGUCAUACCCAAGGACUCCGAGUGCCAUGAUGUCUAUACUUCGCUAAUCAAACUCUUUCAGCCGGUCUCCAUCAACAAGUUGUACUGCUUCAACUAUCAGCCAGCCAAGGAUGAUUACCCCAAAAAUGCUGGCUGGGACUUUUUCAAAUUGGAGGCAGAGUUUAAGCACAUGCUGGUGCCCAACGACAACUGGACGCUGUGCUCCAUGAACGAAAAGUACGAGCUGUGCGACACGUAUCCGCGUCAGAUCUAUGUGCCCAAGGAGGCCACCACAUUGAUGCUCAUAAGCAGCUCACGUUUUCGCUCCAAGGGUCGCCUGCCCGCAUUGACCUAUUUGCACAACAAUAAGGCGUCCAUAUGCCGCUGCAGUCAGCCAUUGUCGGGCUUCAGUGCCCGUUGUCUCGAGGACGAGCAAAUGCUGGAGGCCAUACGCAAAACCAAUCCCAAUACCGAUUACAUGUUCGUUGUGGAUACGCGACCGCGCAUCAAUGCCAUGGCCAAUCGUGCCGCCGGCAAGGGCUAUGAGAACGAGGCCUUUUACGAGAACAUCAAGUUCCAUUUCCUUGGCAUUGAGAACAUUCACGUACAGCGCGCCAGCCUACAAAAGGUGCUGGAGGCUUGCGAACAGAAAUCACCCACGAUGAGCGCAUUUCUGAAUGCCCUAGAGUCAUCCGGCUGGCUUAAACACAUUCGCUCCAUAUUGGACACGUCGAGCUUCAUUGCCAACGCCGUCGACAAGGGCGUCUCCGUGGUUGUACACUGCUCGGAUGGCUGGGAUCGCACUGCUCAAGUUUGCUCGCUGGCGCAGCUCAUGUUGAAUCCUUACUAUCGCACAAUUAAGGGCUUUCAGGCGCUCAUCGAGAAGGACUGGCUGGCGUUUGGGCACAAGUUCAGCGAACGCUGCGGCCACAUACAGACGGAUGCGCGCGAGGUGUCGCCAAUCUUUACGCAGUUCCUGGACUGCACCUGGCAGCUAAUGUCCCAGCGCAGCGAGUCUUUUGAAUUCAAUGAACGCUUUCUGCUCAUACUCCAUGACCAUGUGCACUCGUGUCAGUUCGGCACUUUUGUGGGCAAUUGCGAGAAGGAUCGCCUGGACCUGAAGCUAGCCGAGCGCACAUUCUCGCUGUGGGGCUACAUGGCCAACCAUCUGAACGAGUACAUAAAUCCGCUGUAUAAACCCAACAUAGAUGAGUCGAUCAAAGCCAACCUGGCGCCACAGUGCAUCAAGUUCUGGCGUGGCAUGUACAGCCGCUUUGAAAGCGGCAUACACCCACGCGAGCCAUUGGGUGAUUUGCUGCUGGACAGCAAGGAGCACUGUAACUCCCUGGAGGAUCAUGUGCAGCACUUGACGAAACGUAUUGCCAGUUUCAAAAACUACAUUUCCAAGUCGGCCAAGAAGCUGCAGGAUGCCACCACCACAACCACCACAAAAGCUAGCAAGGAGACGACCACCAACGAGAUCAAUGACAACAAAUACAAUUAUGACAAGAAGCUAAGCGAAUUGUCCGCCGCUGAUGAUGAUCAUCCGCUUAAGGCGAGCAACAUGUCAUUUGCCAAUCUCUCGUUAAAUGCCGAACAGGCGAGCACCCAGACUUUGACCGAGGAAAUCUCUUCCGUGGCCCUUGAUUGGAAGUCCAUGCGAAACGUAACCACCUGCUCCUGCUCCACGCCCUUCGAUCAGUUCAGCAAGAAGACACAUUGCUGGCGUUGCGGCGAGAUCUUCUGUGAGCGUUGCAUUGAUAAGAACGUGGCGUUGCCUGGACACGAUAGCGGCAAGCCGGUGCCCGUUUGUCGUGGCUGCCACCGACAGAUGCAAAAACAGAGUCCAUAAGCCCAAUUCUAGCAUAAUCCUAGUUAUAAAUUGUUGAGCAUGUGACGUGGAGUGAAUGUGGACAGCGUGCAAGCGAGUGGACGUAUUUGUUUCGGAAUCUCUAUCCAGACAGCAUUCCACA